rnacentral:rRNA from 1 species
UUGCCCUACGGGACGCAGCAGUGGGGGAUAUUGCACAAUGGGGGAAACCCUGAUGCAGCGACGCCGCGUGUGGGAAGACGGUCCUCUGGAUUGUAAACCACUGUCUCCAGGGACGAAGAUGACGGUACCUGGGGAGGAAGCUCCGGCUAACUACGUGCCAGCAGCCGCGGUAAUACGUAGGGAGCAAGCGUUGUCCGGAAUUACUGGGCGUAAAGGGCGCGUAGGUGGGCGCUUAAGUCAGGUGUGAAAACUCCGGGCUCAACCUGGAGACUGCACUUGAAACUGGGUGUCUUGAGGGCAGGAGG